GGGAACAGUGAAUGCGCUGAUUCGGCCAUAACGCUCUAGAAGCGCUUAUGGUGGAUUUAUUGCUGUGGGACGCACGGAGCCCAGUAAUCUUUGGUGUUUGUAUGGUGCAUCGGCAUUGGUGCAUUACUCAUAAAAAUGUGUGAUGCAACGAAAAGGACACUAUAUGUUGGGAACCUCGAUGCUUCAGUCACAGAGGACCUGAUCAUAGCCCUCUUCAGUCCAAUUGGUCAAGUGAAGAGCUGUAAAAUCAUUACUGAGAGUGCCGCCGACCCCUACUGCUUCGUCGAGUUCGGCGACCCGCACGCGGCGCAGACGGCCAUCACCACCAUGAACAAGCGCAGCCUCUUCGACAAGGUAGGUGGGCGCGCGCAGGCGCC